GAUGAACGCUGGCGGCGUGCCUAAUACGUGCAAGUCGAGCGAAUGGAUUAAGAGCUUGCUCUUAUGAAGUUAGCGGCGGACGGGUGAGUAACACGUGGGUAACCUGCCCGUAAGACUGGGAUAACUCCGGGAAACCGGGGCUAAUACCGGAUAACAUUUUGAACCGCAUGGUUCGAAAUUGAAAGGCGGCUUCGGCUGUCACUUAUGGAUGGACCCGCGUCGCAUUAGCUAGUUGGUGAGGUAACGGCUCACCAAGGCAACGAUGCGUAGCCGACCUGAGAGGGUGAUCGGCCACACUGGGACUGAGACACGGCCCAGACUCCUACGGGAGGCAGCAGUAGGGAAUCUUCCGCAAUGGACGAAAGUCUGACGGAGCAACGCCGCGUGAGUGAUGAAGGCUUUCGGGUCGUAAAACUCUGUUGUUAGGGAAGAACAAGUGCUAGUUGAAUAAGCUGGCACCUUGACGGUACCUAACCAGAAAGCCACGGCUAACUACGUGCCAGCAGCCGCAGUAA
rnacentral:rRNA from 1 species